AUUGAAUGCUGGUGGCAGGCCUAACACAUGCAAGUCGAGCGGAUGAAGGGAGCUUGCUCCUGGAUUCAGCGGCGGACGGGUGAGUAAUGCCUAGGAAUCUGCCUGGCAGUGGGGGAUAACGUCCGGAAACGGGCGCUAAUACCGCAUACGUCCUGAGGGAGAAAGUGGGGGAUCUUCGGACCUCACGCUAUCAGAUGAGCCUAGGUCGGAUUAGCUAGUUGGUGGGGUAAAGGCCUACCAAGGCGACGAUCCGUAACUGGUCUGAGAGGAUGAUCAGUCACACUGGAACUGAGACACGGUCCAGACUCCUACGGGAGGCAGCAGUGGGGAAUAUUGGACAAAGGGCGAAAGCCUGAUCCAGCCAUGCCGCGUGUGUGAAGAAGGUCUUCGGGUUGUAAAGCACUUUUAGUUGGGAGGAAGGGCAGUAAGUUAAUACCUUGCUGUUUUGACGUUACCCACAGAAUAAGCACCGGCUAACUUCGUG
rnacentral:rRNA from 1 species